rnacentral:lncRNA from 1 species
UACUUUAGACAGUAAAUAAAAGUGAUAAAAAGCAAAAAAAUUCUUUAGUUUGACAGCAGAAUCAACUAGAGCACAUUAUUGCAGAAAACAAGGGUGUGUUUUCAGGUGAUCUUAAGAAUUGUCUUACACUAUCAUCAUAAAUACAGAACAGAAUAAACUUUUGAGGCAACUAAAUAAGACUGGCAAGACAAAGCAAUGAUUGCUGUGACUUUUAGAAAGGAUAAGAAGGGUCAGUGUAUAAUUCAGAAUGCCAGCAAAUAGAAAGAGUGCAUGAGCAUGUUGAGGUGGACAUAUCGUAAAAUCAGGUAGAUAUAGCCAGAAAUUAGUGUAAAAAGGUAAGCUUAGGAACCAGAACUGCAAAGAAUAAGAUGUCCAGAACCGAUAUGAGGUGGUUAGAUCACAUUUCACAAAGGGACUAAAGAGCUUAGCUGUUUGUAGAAGGGUUCUUAAGCUUGCCUAUAGGGGUAUAUAGAAACUAAUUCAUGCGGGAAUAGAAAUCAUAUAUCAAGCCAAAUAAGAUUAUAAGAAGGACAGGGCUUGCUCUUUAUGGUUGUCUAAUUAGGAAGAGGAGAAGGAGAAAAGUUAAAAAGAGAGUAGAGACAGAAUUAUAGCAUCACUAUGGGAAAUUGGUAAACAUGCGGUGAAACUUACAACAAUAAAAUUAUAUGUGAGAUAAACUACCUCUCUGUAAGAGAGAGAGAGAGAGAGAGAGAGAGAGGUAACGGUUAANNNNNNNNNNNNNNNNNNNNGAGAGAGAGAGAGAGAGAGAGAGAGAGAGGGUUAAACUUAAGACAUAUGGAUCCUUAAUUUAGAAAUAACUACUGCACCUCAUAGUGG